CACACCGCCCGUCACGUCAUGGGAGUGGAUGGUACCAGAAGCGGAUAGCCCAACCUUCGGGGAGGCGUUUGCCACGGUAUGAUUCAUGACUGGGACG
rnacentral:rRNA from 1 species